UGCAUGGUUGUCGUCAGCUCGUGCCGUGAGGUGUCGGUUAAGUCCCAUAACGAGCGCAACCCUACCCUUUAGUUGCCAUCAGGUAAUGCUGGGGACUCUAAAGGAACUGCCUACGCAAGUAGUGAGGAAGGCGGGGAGUGACGUCAAAUCAGCACGGCCCUUACGUCCAGGGCUACACACGUGCUACAAUGGCCGAUACAGAGGGCAGCUACCUGGUGACAGGAUGCAAAUCUCCAAAGUCGGUCUCAGUUCGGAUCGGAGUCUGCAACCCGACUCCGUGAAGUUGGAUUCGCUAGUAAUCGCGCAUCAGCCAUGGCGCGGUGAAUACGUUCCCGGGCCUU
rnacentral:rRNA from 1 species